AACGUACGCUGGCGGCACGCCUAACACAUGCAAGUCGAACGAAAUAGCAAUACUUAGUGGCAGACGGGUGAGUAACAUGUAGGUAUCUGCCCUUUGGCCUGGAAUAACACGAGGAAACUUGUGCUAAUACCGGAUAAGUCUUUACGGAGAAAGCUUUAUGCACCAUUGGAUGAGCCUGCACUUGAUUAGUUUGUUGGUGGGGUAAUGGCCUACCAAGACUGUGAUCAAUAGCUGAUUUGAGAGGAUGAUCAGCCUCAUUGGGACUGAGACACGGCCCAAACUCCUACGGGAGGCAGCAGUGGGGAAUCUUGCACAAUGGAGGAAACUCUGAUGCAGCGAUGCCGCGUGAGUGAAGAAGGCCUUUGGGUUGUAAAGCUCUUUCGUCGGGGAAGAAAAUGACUGUACCCGAAUAAGAAGGUCCGGCUAACUUCGUGCCAGCAGCCGCGGUAAUACGAAGGGACCUAGCGUAGUUCGGAAUUACUGGGCUUAAAGAGUUCGUAGGUGGUUGAAAAAGUUAGUGGUGAAAUCCCAGAGCUUAACUCUGGAACUGCCAUUAAAACUUUUCAGCUAGAGUAUGAUAGAGGAAAGCAGAAUUUCUAGUGUAGAGGUGAAAUUCGUAGAUAUUAGAAAGAAUACCAAUUGCGAAGGCAGCUUUCUGGAUCAUUACUGACACUGAGGAACGAAAGCAUGGGUAGCGAAGAGGAUUAGAUACCCUCGUAGUCCAUGCCGUAAACGAUGUGUGUUAGACGUUGGAAAUUUAUUUUCAGUGUCGCAGGGAAACCGAUAAACACACCGCCUGGGGAGUACGACCGCAAGGUUAAAACUCAAUGAAUUUGACGGGGACCCGCA
rnacentral:rRNA from 1 species